rnacentral:sRNA from 1 species
CUGAAAGCAGCUCCAAUACAACUGCAGCCGACCG